UGGCCCACCUUGCAGCGAUGACACCAUGAUCAUGAAGGUAGUUUUCUCAGCGAGACUUGUCCAUUGCAGUUGGGAUGUGCUUGCUCCCUGUGCCGCUCAAAAGUAGUAAACUGGAGAGCACAAUUUGUGAACAUGGAGGGAGGGGGGUUGCAUUCUCACUCA
ensembl:snRNA U1 U1 spliceosomal RNA